rnacentral:rRNA from 1 species
CCUACGGGAGGCAGCAGUGGGGAAUAUUGGACAAUGGGGGAAACCCUGAUCCAGCGACGCCGCGUGAGUGAAGAAGUAUUUCGGUACGUAAAGCUCUAUCAGCAGGAAAGAAAAUGACGGUACCUGACUAAGAAGCCCCGGCUAACUACGUGCCAGCAGCCGCGGUAAUACGUAGGGGGCAAGCGUUAUCCGGAUUUACUGGGUGGAAAGGGAGCGUAGACGGCAGCGCAAGUCUGGAGUGAAAUGCCGGGGCCCAACCCCUGAACUGCUCUGGAAACUGUGAAGCUGGAGUGCAGGAGAGGUAAGCGGAAUUCCUGGUGGAGCGGUGAAAUGCGUAGAUAUCAGGAGGAACACCGGCGGCGAAGGCGGCUUACUGGACUGUAACUGACGUUGAGGCUCGAAGGCGUGGGGAGCAAACAGGAUUAGAUACCCCUGUAGUC